rnacentral:rRNA from 1 species
AUUGAACGCUGGCGGCAGGCCUAACACAUGCAAGUCGAGCGGAUGACGGGAGCUUGCUCCUUGAUUCAGCGGCGGACGGGUGAGUAAUGCCUAGGAAUCUGCCUGGUAGUGGGGGACAACGUUUCGAAAGGAACGCUAAUACUGCAUACGUCCUACGGGAGAAAGCAGGGGACCUUCGGACCUUGCGCUAUCAGAUGAGCCUAGGUCGGAUUAGCUAGUUGGUGAGGUAAUGGCUCACCAAGGCGACGAUCCGUAACUGGUCUGAGAGGAUGAUGAGUCAAACUGGAACUGAGACACGGUCCAGACGCCUACGGGAGGCAGCAGUGGGGAAUAUUGGACAAUGGGCGAAAGCCUGAUCCAGCCAUGCCGCGUGUGUGAAGAAGGUCUUCGGAUUGUAAAGCACUUUAAGUUGGGAGGAAGGGCAGUAAGUUAAUACCUUGCUGUUUUGACGUUACCGACAGAAUAAGCACCGGCUAACUCUGUGCCAGCCGCCGCCGUAACAC